UACGGAGGGUGCAAGCGUUGCUCGGAAUCAUUGGGCGUAAAGCGCACGUAGGCGGCUUGUUAAGUCGGAUGUGAAAGCCCUCGGCUCAACCGAGGAAGUGCAUACGAAACUGGCGAGCUUGAAUAUGGAAGAGGGUCGCGGAAUUCCCGGUGUAGAGGUGAAAUUCGUAGAUAUCGGGAGGAACACCAGUGGCGAAGGCGGCGACCUGGGCCAAUAUUGACGCUGAGGUGCGAAAGCGUGGGGAGCAAACAGG
rnacentral:rRNA from 1 species